rnacentral:rRNA from 1 species
CCUACGGGGGGCAGCAGUGGGGAAUAUUGCACAAUGGGGGGAACCCUGAUGCAGCAACGCCGCGUGGGUGAAGAAGUACUCCGGUAUGUAAAGCCCUGUCAGCAGGGAAGAAAAUGACGGUACCUGACCAAGAAGCCCCGGCUAACUACGUGCCAGCAGCCGCGGUAAUACGUAGGGGGCAAGCGUUAUCCGGAUUUACUGGGUGUAAAGGGAGCGUAGACGGCAAGGCAAGUCUGGAGUGAAAGCCCGGGGCCCAACCACGGGACUGCUUUGGAAACUGUGUUGCUGGAGUGCAGGAGGGGUAAGCGGAAUUCCUAGUGUAGCGGUGAAAUGCGUAGAUAUUAGGAGGAACACCGGUGGCGAAGGCGGCUUACUGGACUGUAACUGACGUUGAGGCUCGAAGGCGUGGGGAGCAAACAGGAUUAGAUACCCUGGUAGUC